rnacentral:sRNA from 1 species
AACUAGCUGACAAUUACAACUUGGAAGCCAGGCCUCAUUCUGCAAGCUGUUGGGUUACGGUAUUUACAGAGGUGUGGAAGAUGUUUAUUUUACACCAUUGGCAUAUUCCCGGCAUAUCCAGAAUCGACACACCAGGAGAAGUCGGGUCCCUGAGAGGCCGGCCCCAUGCUCGUCUAUCUUGUAUGAAUGGCUCACUUGUCGAUGAGCAAAGAAUGCACGAACUGAAGUGAGAGAGGAGGGCAAAGCCAGAGUACCCCGAUGACGAAAUGGAGAACUCCAUCAGUCAAUGGCGUUCGUCCAUCGGCAGGCUCCGUCGAUUCUCAGAUAUCAAAAUGCACUCACUUCUGGCCAACUCAAUAUCUUAAUCUACCGGACG